GUGUGCUUAGUGUUGAGCUUACGACCGCCAUGUUGUGAGUUCGAUUGCCUGACCGGGCUGCGUGUUGUGUUCUUGAGCAAGACACUUUAUUUCACGUUGCUCCAGUUAACACAGCUGUAAAAAUUAGUUGCGACAUGACUGGUGCCAAGCUGCAUCGACCUUUGCCUUUCCCUUGGAUAACAUCAGUGGUGUGGAGAGGGGAGACUGGUAUGCAUGGGCGACUGCUGGUCUUCCAUAAACAACCUUGCCCAGACUUGUGCC